rnacentral:lncRNA from 1 species
GUGCCAUCGUAUUUCUUCAAAGGAAGUGGUAGUGGCUCUGGAGAGACCCAGGUUUUCUUAGAUGAAAGGAUUCUCCGGAUCGGACGGACAGUUGUGCUGAAGAAAACAGACAUCUCCGUGACAACCCCGAGUAUCACAGAAUAACACUUGCUUUUGUGGGGAGAACCAAGGCGCGGUGGCUCUAGAAGAACUAGGAUUUAUUGCUUGUGCGGAAAAGUUGUGGUUCUGGUUUGUAGUUUUACUUCAUCCUUAAGUGAAUGAGAUUGUCCUUGUUACAUGUGCAUGCAUGUACGCACUUGUGUACCUUGUUUUUGGGAAGCAGUUUAUUUGCAGAAGCAUCGGGAUAUGUGGAGAAGUAGAAUUGACUCAGCUGGGUUGAAUGAAUAUAGCUGCUUCCCAAAAGUUUGAGUUUGGGGGGAUUACAUAAUUGUAAUCAGACUUAUUUUGGGCACCGGGGAUGUCAGUCUUGAUUGUGAGGGUGCUUGCUGUACCUGGCAAACAAAAGCUCUAGGCUCAAAGGCCAGAACAGGUCCUAUUGUUAGUAUUUUUAAAGCAUACAUUGCAGAAUCUGAAUGGAUGAUCUUUUGCCCUGUUGGACUUUGUUGUUUGUUCUACGACUACAUGAAUGAUGGUUUUCAUUCACAAGUAAUUCAAACUAUAAUGACAAUUUAUUUCAGGGUAGGGGAUUAACAGGUUUGGGCUACUUAAUGACAUUCCUCCAAAGAUCUAUGCCUAGGGAGCUUAGUGUAAAUAAAAUAAAUAACAUAGUUUAAUGUGGGAAGUUAAUCUAAAGACUUAAAUAAUUUUGGUUUUUUUGUUUUUGUUUUUCAAGACACAGUUUGUCUGUGUAGCCCUGGCUGUUGUGGAACU